GUGGAAGGGAUUUCUCUGGAAAGUUCACUAAGUUUCUGAUGAAGCAUCUAUCUGAACAUCUAUCACUUAUAGGGGCCCAUUGAAGAUGAAACCUGUACCCACCAUGUAAGACUGCCCUUGACUCUAAGCCCUGCUUCUUUCCUAGGUUCAAUCCUGGGGAGGUCAGAAGCUACAGUUAGCAGAGGAGGAGACAUGCUAAGACGAGAAAGAUGAUGAAGCCCUUCUGUUUCUACCCCUUUGCAUUUGACCAUUUGUAGGACCAGCUUUCUGAAGCUGGAGUCCCUGGGAAAUUAUCUGACUUGGAGAUGCGAGGAUAUUGGGCAACACUUUUGGAUGCAACAAGUAAAACAGAAGCAGAAUUAGGCUGAGAGAGAAAUGGAUCUCUAUUACAGCUGCAGCAAACUUCAGCAGAAUCCUUAGGAUACUUUGGACCUAGGAUGGUCUUUCAACAUUAUUCCAAAUUGAGACAAG
rnacentral:lncRNA from 1 species